CUCCUGCUUGUCCAGGUCACUGCUCACUUUCUCCAGCCCUGCCAGGAGCUGACGCCCUCGGACUGAUGCAGCAUCUGGAUAACAAGGAGUGAGCAGGUUGAAGCUGGAUCCGGGCUCGAUCCCACCAGGUGUAGUGGGCUCCUCGGUUUAUCUGGCCCUGGGGGACAGGAAUGGGUCACAGCAGCAGGUCAGCAACCACCCAUUGAGCCCCAGGUUCCUGUGCUCCCGGGGUGUCUGGUGGCUUUGCUGUCCCCUCCCUUUUGGUGAACUCCUCAGGCCUGCAAAGACCCCACUCCAUAAAUGGACACCACCAUCAGGUGGGGCCAGGAGGAUGCAGAUGUGCCCACCAGGGCUGUGCUGGUGACAGUGGGAGAGCCUCAACAGGGACAGGCUGGAGUGGCAUCUCCCGGCGGUACCGAAGGGGUAGGACCUGCUGGCUCCUCUCCUGCAGGGACUUCACCACCACCUCAUACUUGUCCAAGGCCUUCUCCUGGUCCUAGCACAAGCUUCCGAUGGAUGAAAUUCUAGGUGGAGAGAGGCAAGAUAUUGAUCCCCACACAAAGAGAGAGGAACCUGGCUGCAUCUUGGAACUGAGCUACUCUGAAAGGGUUUGAGCAGCUCCACAAGACCAGAAGUGAUCACAGAAACCACAACUGAGAGGGACCUCUAGAGAUCCAAUCCAACUCCCCCACUAACGGAGAUCACCCAGAGCACACAGGGCUGCAGAUGUUAUCAAAGAUGUGACAUCUGCCAAGAGAGAGAAGAAAGAGGAAUCCCUCGAGCUUCCUCAUUCCAUUACCUUUGGCAAGAGGGCCAUGUAUAUGAUGUCCUCACAACAGCCAUGACCAGUCCCAGCUAAAUCCCAGGGCUUUAUGCUGUUGGGAUGGGGUGUGCAAAAAGAGCACAAAGCAAGAAAGUCCACCAGACAACAGGAACAUCAUCAUCAUCAUCAUCCACGUUCCUCAGGCAAGG